CCGUCUGUCUGUCUGUCUGUCUGUCUGUGUGUACGUUUGUGGGUCUUUUUGCUCCCCUCCCUGACCGUCAUCGUUGUUCGUGUGUCUGUAUAUUUAAUUCUCUUUCCAAUCAGUCUGUCCGUAUGGCCUAUUUGUAUAUGUAUUUGCUGCCUUUCUGUAUGUUGUAGCUCGUCUGUCUGUCUGUUUGUCUGUUUUCUCUUCCCUUUUCCUGUUACCCGUUUAGCUUCAACCAUUGUGAAAUACAUAGUAAGCGCCCGACCAGUAAAAGGUUUCUAUUAAGCCUGUCACCUUUUUUAUUUAUAUUUUUAUUUAUUUAUUUAUCACCUGCAAUGGCUAAAAAAACAGGUCAGUACGAUGAAAGGUUUGUCUUUUGUAGAAGCAUUUUCAUUUCCUGUUUAUUUUUUCAAUUCCCUUUUUUUUUCUGUGCACAUGUGUUGAACCUUCUGCUUUGUGCGUUCCUCUUUGUCCGUCUGUGUCUAUAUGUGUGUCUUUGUCUGUCUCUCUCGUUACCUGUACCUGCUUUUUCUGUUUCUCUUUCCCUCUGUGUCGGUGUCUCUAUAGAAGCAUCCUUUGUAUACCCGCCUGUCAUUAAGAGUCAUCGGUUCUCUAUUCAGAUUCCUUUUUCUAAUGACAGUGAUCGGAAGAGGGUCGCAAAAUAUGAUCCGAAUGCAACUUUAAGUACGUCUGUGGAAGCGAAAGAAGGAAGGGUAGAUGACGGAGGAGACUGGAGAAAGAAAAGGCGGGGGAAACGAAACUACGGAGAAAUUGGGAAGGAGAAAGAAAAGGCGAGGGAAACGAAACUAGGGAGAAAUUGUGAAGGUGGAGAUGGUGGGUAGAGGAGAGGGAAUGAAAGGGAAUGAAAGGAGGAGGAGGAGGAGGGUGAAUUGGAGAAAGAAGAGGCGAGGGAAAUGAGGGUAUGGAGAGAAAUGGGGAGGAGAUGAGGUGGUGGGUGAAGGAGAGGGAAUGAAGGAAGAGUGAAAGAAGGAGGAACAGAUGAAGAAAGAGAAACAGGAGAGAGAGAAGGCGAGGGAGACGAAAAAAAGGGAGAAAGAGAAGGCGAAGGAGAUGAAAGUACGGAGGUGGUGGGUGAAGAGAGGGAAUGAAGGAAGAGUGGAAGGAGGAUGAAUAGAUGAAGAAAGAAAAAUAGGAGAAAGAGAAGGCGAGGGAGACGAAAAAAAAGGGAGAAAGAGACGCCGAAGAAAAUCAAAGUACGGAGACAAAUGUGGGUAAGGACACAGUAGACAAAGGAGAGGGAAUAAAUAGGAGCCAUAGAUGAAUGGAGGAAAAAAAAAUGGAGAAAGAUAAACCUAAUGGAAGAAAAGGAGAAAACGAAAAAAAGGGAGAAAAUGGGGACAAGGAGAUGAGGUCGUGGGUGGUGAAGGAGAGGGAAUCAAGAGGAGAAACGAGUGUAGGUAAGUGUCUCAAAGAUGAAUGGAGGAGAAAAAAAUGGAGAAAAUAAAACCAAUGGAAGGAAAGGAGAAAACGAAAAAAGGGAGAAAAAUAGGGAGAAGGAGAUGAGGUCGUGGGUGGUGAAGGAGAGGGAAUCAAGAGGAGAAACGAGUGUAGGUAAGUGUCUCAAAGAUGAAUGGAGGAAAAAAAAUGGAGAAAAUGAAACCCAAUGGAAGGAAAGGAGAAAACGAAAAAAGGGAGAAAAAUAGGGAGAAGGAGAUGAGGUCGUGGGUGGUGAAGGAGAAUGAAUCAAGAGGAAAAACGAGUAGGUAGGUGACGCGGGAGAGGAAAAGGAGCCGAGGGAAAAGAAUUUGGUGGGACACAAGAAUUUACGGGCAAAGUCCUGGGCGGUGUGAAGAGAGGGGCAGGUGGUUGUAAUGAAGAAUGUUUGGGCGUGUGAGAAAUGAAGGCACAGACGGAGGAGGGGAAGACAGGUAAAUGAAAGGAGGAGGAGGAGAAGGAACCGCGUGUAAAGGACGGUGAAUGACAAAGAAAGGUAAAAGUGGGGGAGGAAAUGAAGGGACAGGUGGAGAGAACGAGGGAGACAGACAGGUAAAGGAAAGGAGGAGGAGGAGGAACCGCGUCUAAAGGGUGACAAAGAAAGGAAAGGUAAAAUUGGAGGAAGAAAUGAAGGGACAGGUGGAGAGAACGAGGGAGACAGACAGGUAAAGGAAAGAAAAAGGAGAAAUAACUGCUUGUGAAGGAUGACAAAGGAAGGGAAAGGUAAAGUUAAGGGAAGAAUUGGCGGGACAGGUGAAGAGGAAGAGAAGGAGACAGGUAAAGGAAAGAAGGAGGAGAAAGAACUGCUUGUGAAGGAUGACAAAGGAAGGGAAAGGUAAAGUUGAGGGUAGAGGUGAAGGUACAGAUGGAAGGGAAGAGAAGGAGACAGGUAAAUGAAAGAAGGAGGAGAAGGAACCGUGUCUAAAGAAUCACAAAAAAAGGGAAAGGUAAAGUUGAGGGAAGAGAAGGUACAGGUGAAGAGGAAAAGAGUGACAGGUAAAUAAAAUAAAUACGAAAAAGAACAAAUAAAAAAAAGAAAUGUAAAGGUAAGGUUGAGGGGGAUACACUGUAGCUGCGCGUGACCUCGGUGCUCAUCUCCGUCACAUUGACCUUACAACGAAAGAUAUAAUAAAAAUAAA